rnacentral:rRNA from 1 species
UACGUAGGGUGCAAGCGUUGUUCGGAAUCAUUGGGCGUAAAGCGCGCGUAGGCUGCUAAUUAAGUCGGGUGCGAAAUCCCUCGGCUCAACCGAGGAAGUGCAUCCGAAACUAAUUAGCUAGAAGACGGUAGAGGAAGGUGGAAUUCCUAGUGUAGAGGUGAAAUUCGUAGAUAUUAGGAGGAAUACCGGUGGCGAAGGCGGCCUUCUGGGCCGUGCUUGACGCUGAGGCGCGAGAGCGUGGGUAGCAAACAGG